rnacentral:snoRNA from 1 species
AAGACUACACUUUCAGGGAUCAUUUCUAUAGUUCAUUCCUAGAGAAAUUUCUCUGAACAUGUAGAGCAUGAAAGACU